rnacentral:rRNA from 1 species
AUGGGAAAGAUUUAUCGCUAUGAGAUUGGCCCGCGCAAGAUUAGCUUGUUGGUGAGGUAAUGGCUCACCAAGGCUCCGAUCUUUAGCUGGUUUGAGAGGACGAUCAGCCACACUGGGACUGAGACACGGCCCAGACUCCUACGGGAGGCAGCAGUAGGGAAUAUUGGACAAUGGACGAAAGUCUGAUCCAGCCAUGCCGCGUGCAGGAUGACUGCCCUAUGGGUUGUAAACUGCUUUUAUACAGGAAGAAAUACUCCGACGAGUCGGGGCUUGACGGUACUGUAAGAAUAAGGAUCGGCUAACUCCGUGCCAGCAGCCGCGGUAAUACGGAGGAUCCAAGCGUUAUCCGGAAUUAUCGGGUUUAAAGGGUCCGUAGGCGGUUUUUAAGUCAGAGGUGAAAUCCUGCAGCUCAACUGUAGAAUUGCCUUUGAUACUGAAAGACUUGAGUCAUCGUGAAGUAGUAAGAAUGUGUAGUGUAGCGGUGACAUGCAUAGAUAUCAAACAGAAUAACAUUAGCGAAGGCAGAUUUCUGGAUCAUUACUGACACUGAGGAAACAAAGCACGGUAGAAAGAGGAUAGA